rnacentral:rRNA from 1 species
UACGGAGGGGACUAGCGUUGUUCGGAAUUACUGGGCGUAAAGCGCACGUGGGCGGAUUUGUAAGUCAGGGGUGAAAUCCCGGGGCUCAACCUCGGAACUGCCUUUGAUACUGCAAAUCUCGAGUCCGGAAGAGGUGAGUGGAAUUCCUAGUGUAGAGGUGAAAUUCGUAGAUAUUAGGAAGAACACCAGUGGCGAAGGCGCUCACUGGUCCGGUACUGACGCUGAGGUGCGAAAGCGUGGGGAGCAAACAGG